UACGUAGGGUGCGAGCGUUAAUCGGAAUUACUGGGCGUAACGUGUGCGCAGGCGGCCGCGCCAGUCGAGUGUGAAAGCCCCGAGCUUAACUUGGGAAUUGCGCUCGAAACUACGUGGCUGGAGUGUGGCAGAGGAAGGUGGAAUUCCACGUGUAGCGGUGAAAUGCGUAGAGAUGUGGAGGAACACCAAUGGCGAAGGCAGCCUUCUGGGCCAACACUGACGCUCAGGCACGAAAGCGUGGGGAGCAAACAGG
rnacentral:rRNA from 1 species